rnacentral:hammerhead_ribozyme from 1 species
UUUCAGCUGACGAUCCCCAAAACAGAAAGAAACGCGCGUCCUGGAU